rnacentral:rRNA from 1 species
UACGUAGGGCGCAAGCGUUAUCCGGAAUUAUUGGGCGUAAAGAGCUCGUAGGCGGUUUGUCGCGUCUGCCGUGAAAGUCCGGGGCUCAACUCCGGAUCUGCGGUGGGUACGGGCAGACUAGAGUUCGGCAGGGGAGACUGGAAUUCCUGGUGUAGCGGUGAAAUGCGCAGAUAUCAGGAGGAACACCGAUGGCGAAGGCAGGUCUCUGGGCCACUACUGAC